AAGCGUGGUCAGGUCAAAACCCUAGAAAUAGAAAUCCAAAACGCAGAGAGAGAGAGAGAGAGAGAGAGAGAGGGGCAGAGAGCUCUCGUACAAGAAUUUCUUCGCUCACGCUUACGGCUUUCGUGUUCGCGCAAACUCAAUCAUCGUCACCAACUCUCAGACCUGUUCUUCACACGUUGCCAUACCCAAAUCUAAGAUAUCGAUUCAGUUAUUCUAAUGGCUGGCCAGAGGAAUAAUUAUGGGAAGCGGACCCAUUCUCAAUCCGACCAUUCUGACAAUGGCGGUAAUAAAAGGAGAAAUCCCGGUGAUGAUAGAGACCAAUUUGUCAUUGAUUCGGAGGACACUGUAUAUCGGUAUUUGUGCCCUGUAAGAAAGAUUGGAAGUGUUAUUGGUAGGGGUGGGGAAAUUGUCAAGCAGUUGAGGGCAGACACUAAAUCAAAGAUUAGGAUUGGGGAGACAGUGCCAGGAUGCGAGGAGCGUGUUGUUACUCUCUACAGCUCCAGUGAUGAGACUAAUGCUUUUGAAGAUACUGGCAAUUAUGUUUCUCCAGCACAAGAUGCUCUUUUCAAGGUGCAUGACAGAGUUAUCGCUGAAGAUUUGCAUGGUGAUGAGGAAUCUGAUGGAGGUCACCAAGUUACUGCUCGCCUUCUUGUUCCAUCUGAUCAGAUUGGUUGCGUAAUUGGAAAGGGUGGACAGAUAGUUCAGAACAUUCGUAGUGAGACUGGAGCCCAAAUUCGCAUUCUUAAGGAUGAUCAUUUGCCACCUUGCGCCUUAAGCUCUGAUGAGCUGGUACAGGUAUCUGGGGAAGCCCCAGUUGUGAAAAAGGCUCUAUAUCAAAUUGCAUCUCGCCUUCAUGAUAAUCCUUCACGUUCUCAGCAUUUGCUUACUUCUUCUGUACCCAAUGUGUACCAAUCUGGUGGCUCACUUAUGGGUCCGGCUGGUGGUGCCCCAAUUGUGGGCAUAGCUCCACUGAUGGGUCCUUAUGGAGGAUACAAGGGUGAUACUGGUGACUGGUCUCGCUCCUUAUACUCAGCUCCUAGGGAUGAUGCAUCUUCAAAAGAAUUCUCUCUUCGUGUAGUUUGUCCUACUGCCAAUAUUGGAGGCGUGAUUGGCAAGGGUGGUGCCAUAAUCAAUCAGAUCAGACAGGAAUCUGGGGCUGUCAUUAAAGUUGACAGUUCAACUUCUGAAGGAGAUGAUUGCUUAAUAACUAUUUCAGCAAAGGAGUUUUUUGAAGACACAUUUUCUCCAACUAUAGAAGCAGCUGUGCGUUUGCAACCCAGGUGUAGUGAGAAAGUUGAAAGAGAUUCAGGAAUUAUCUCAUUUACAACCCGCCUGCUUGUGCCGACUUCACGAAUUGGCUGUCUUAUUGGUAAGGGAGGAGCUAUUGUAACUGAAAUGAGGAGACUCACCAAAGCUAAUAUUCGAAUACUCUCAAAGGAAAACCUUCCCAAAGUCGCAUCCGAUGAUGAUGAGAUGGUGCAGAUUUCCGGAGACCUUGAUGUUGCCAAGGAUGCUCUUAUACAAGUAGUUACACGGUUAAGAGCAAAUCUUUUUGAUAGGGAGGGUGCAGUGUCUGCAUUUCUGCCAGUUCUUCCAUAUUUGCCUGUGUCAGCUGAUGGUUCUGAUAGUUUAAACUAUGAAAGUAGAGAUAGCAAAAGACAUGGUCGUGUGCAUUCUUAUUCCGGUGGUUACGGUGGCUCAAGUGAUUUGGCAGCUGCUGACAAUUAUGGAAGUUAUGGUGGAUCACAGAUUGGAGGCAGUGGCAAUGCCUAUGGAGCUUAUGGUGGUUAUUCUUCAGGACGUACUGGUAGCUCUGGGUUGUCAGGCCAGGCCCCUGUUUCUCGUCGGAGAAACUAUGGAUACUAGACUUUGGUGAUGGGGGCACCUUCAGGCAAGAUUGAAAGUUGACGGUUGACCUGAAUGGUAACAGCAUGCCAUUUGAUGGAUUCUUGGAACUUCAUGUACUAUUGGAUGCAGAUUGGGAGAUUCUUGGGUGUAUUUAGUACUUUAUGAUUCGUGGGGUUCUAUGAGUAUCCUCUUCAUAGGAGGCAGGUAAAAUCUCUGGCUAAGAACAUCUUAAUCAGGCAAGUUCCUUUUUAGUUUGGAGAGAAUUUAAACUGGCUUCCACUUUAUGCAUGUUACUUGUACUCUCUUUAUUUCAUUUUUAUACGCUGCUGUCUAAUUUUAUUUUAGAUAGAUUAAUAUUUUGUUAAAUUACAAAUUACACGAAUAACUUUGACCUGUUUUCAAUUCAGUCUUUCAGGUUUCGUUUUUCCUCAUCUCCGUCCUUCAACUUUAUUCUAUUUUCAGUUUAGUUCUUCCUCUAGUUUUGUCCAAUCAUGUUGAUUGUUUAGGUAUUUUCACUUUGCAAAUGAUGUUUUGGUGGACCUAACGGUGUGGAUUGGACGGAGAUGGAUGGAAGGACUAUAUUGGAAAUGAAUAUAAGUUUAAAGAACUGAGAUGGAUGGAAAGCGCUGAAUGGAAAACAUGUCAAAGGUAGGUUUUAAUUUGUAAUUUAGCCUUAAUGUUUUUCUUCAAUCCUACCAAUGUUUAUCAUGCAUGCAAAUUUCAUGUUGAUUGAAUGCCAUUUACUAUCCAAUCCAUAAAUGAGUUUUUAUAUUCUUACUUUAAAAAAAAGAUUUAAUAUAUUCAUGGAUUACUUUAUUUUAAAAACAUUUCAAAGUAAAAUUUUAAAGAAUUUAUAGAUGAAGUUGUUUGUCGAGCAUCUUAUAUUUGAUGUUCAUGAUGGGAAUGAAGCAAACCAACCCCCCCCCCCCCCCCCCCCCCCCCAACACACACACACACAUAUGAAUUUUUGUAACAGGGUCCUUCAAGGCCGAAAGGCUAGCCCAAUGCAGGAGUGUAAUAGUUUUUCACUAGUUGAGGUUGAGAAGUUUAUGACUCUUGAGCACUUGUUCCUCAUUGGGCCAGUGUUUUAGGCUUAAGGACCUUAGUGUUGCAAAUGGUACAAAGCAGUGUCCUACUCAUUGGUGGGGCCACACGUGUCAUGAGCCAUGCCAGAGAGGGGUGGAAUCUGGGUUGGAAUGUGGUGGAAUCUCACAUUGACUGGUGAUGGUGUGUACUUUUGCAAUCUUACACGCUAUUGUUUUUGCUUGAUAUUUAUUAAUUUUGGGGACAAAUGUUGGAUAUAUAGUAUCAGAUGUCUCACUGCAUGAGUUUUAUGAUUUAAAUUAUUAUUUUCUUAACUCUGAGCUUAAUUUUAAGAAAGGGGUCUUGAGUUGAGAGUGGUCAUGCUGUACUAUUUAAGUAAAAAAAGUAGGCUUGUCCAUUGAGCUUGCCUGCCUGACAGUGACAAUGUUUGGGUUUGGUUCAUAUUGAUCCGAAGGACUAGAGGGAGUACGUUGGGAGUGGUCUCAGAAAUGGGGUUGCUUUUAUAUUUUAACUUCUUUAAUUUUACUGUCAUUAUUGAGUUAAUACACAGCGGUUCUUCUAGGGACUUUUUUUGCCACACUUAGACAUAAACUUGAACAUUUGUCAAUAUGUGAUUGGAUUAUAUCACUUAUACAAUAGGACAAUCACUGGCAUUUGUGAAAAUUAAUCAAUUCACCAUUUGAAAA